CCCCUCUCAGGGUCACAGCUGGAGAGUUUCCAGUGCUCUACCAAUCAUGACUACAGGAGGGAGAGUCGAGCAGAGGCCUACCCAUUGCAUUCCUAGCUUGGCCAGUGGCUGGCGAAUGGAAGGCAGUCUGCUACAAGU